rnacentral:rRNA from 1 species
AACGAACGCUGGCGGCAGGCCUAACACAUGCAAGUCGAGCGAGAUCUUCGGGUCUAGCGGCGGACGGGUGAGUAACGCGUGGGAAUAUGCCUCUUGGUACGGAAUAGCCUCGGGAAACUGGGAGUAAUACCGUAUGUGCCCUUUGGGGGAAAGAUUUAUCGCCAAGCGAUUAGCCCGCGUUGGAUUAGGUAGUUGGUGGGGUAAUGGCCUACCAAGCCGACGAUCCAUAGCUGGUUUGAGAGGAUGAUCAGCCACACUGGGACUGAGACACGGCCCAGACUCCUACGGGACGCAGCAGUGGGGAAUCUUAGACAAUGGGGGCAACCCUGAUCUAGCCAUGCCGCGUGAGUGAUGAAGGCCUUAGGGUUGUAAAGCUCUUUCAGCUGGGAAGAUAAUGACGGUACCAGCAGAAGAAGCCCCGGCUAACUCCGUG